UACAGAGGGGGCCAGCGUUAUUCGGAAUUACUGGGCGUAAAGGGCUCGUAGGCGGCCAACUAAGUCAGACGUGAAAUCCCUCGGCUUAACCGGGGAACUGCGUUUGAUACUGGAUGGCUUGAGUUUGGGAGAGGGAUGCGGAAUUCCAGGUGUAGCGGUGAAAUGCGUAGAUAUCUGGAGGAACACCGGUGGCGAAGGCGGCAUCCUGGACCAAUACUGACGCUGAGGAGCGAAAGCUAGGGGAGCAAACGGG
rnacentral:rRNA from 1 species